rnacentral:rRNA from 1 species
GAUGAACGCUCGCGGCAGGCCUAAUACAUGCAAGUCGGACGGGAUUCAGGAGCUUGCUUCUGAUGAGAGUGGCGCACGGGUGCGUAACACGUAUGUAACCUACCUUUAUCAGGGGGAUAGCCUCUCGAAAGAGAGAUUAAGCCCGCAUAAAAUCACAGCACAGCAUUGUGUAAUGAUCAAAUAUUUAUAGGAUAAAGAUGGGCAUGCGGAACAUUAGCUAGAUGGCGGGGUAACGGCCCACCAAGGCGACGAUGUUUAGGGGAUCUGAGAGGAUGGCCCCCCACACUGGUACUGAGACACGGACCAGACUCCUACGGAGGGCAGCAGUAAGGAAUAUUGGGCAAUGGGCGGAAGCCUGAACCAGCCAUGCCGCGUGCAGGAAGACGGCCAUACGGGUUGUAAACUGCUUUUAUACGAGAAUAAACCCAGAUACGUGUAUCUGGCUGAAUGUACUGUAAGAAUAAGGAUCGGCUAACUCCGUG